UAUAUUUUAGUGUAGGAGGCACAAAAAUUUUUGAAAUUUUUAGUAAUAGUUUAAUUCUAUUAAAUAUAA
rnacentral:tRNA from 1 species